GGGGCUGUAGCUCAGCUGGGAGAGCACAUGGCUGGCAGCCAUGGGGUCAGGGGUUCGAGCCCCCUCAGCUCCA
rnacentral:tRNA from 1 species